UGGGGAAUAUUGCACAAUGGGCGCAAGCCUGAUGCAGCCAUGCCGCGUGUGUGAAGAAGGCCUUCGGGUUGUAAAGCACUUUCAGCGAGGAGGAAGGGUUCAGUGUUAAUAGCACUGUUCAUUGACGUUACUCGCAGAAGAAGCACCGGCUAACUCCGUGCCAGCAGCCGCGGUAAUACGGAGGGUGCAAGCGUUAAUCGGAAUUACUGGGCGUAAAGCGCACGCAGGCGGUUUGUUAAGUCAGAUGUGAAAUCCCCGCGCUUAACGUGGAACUGCAUUUGAAACUGGCAAGCUAGAGUCUUGUAGAGGGGGGUGAGAAUUCCAGGUGUAGCGGUGAAAUGCGUAGAGAUCUGGAGGAAUACCGGUGGCGAAGGCGGCCCCCUGGACAAAGACUGACGCUCAGGUGCGAAAGCGUGGGGAG
rnacentral:rRNA from 1 species